CGAUAGAUGGCGGCGAUGUAUCGCGUACUGUCAGAGGAAAUCCGGUGUUUCCGGCUAAAUUUCAACAUGCCUGUAAAAUGUGUUGCUAUUGUUGAAUCUUUAAAAAAUUAAGCAAGAACUUGGGGUAAAGUUUCGGGGUUGCAUUCGGUUGAGGUAGUUGCCAGAUCGGCCAAAUUACUUUACAAUCAAUAAAGAGGCUGCAAGACUGAUACUAGUCCAAGAACCUUAUACAGAAAGCCUUUAAACAGAGCACCUCCCGGACUAAGAGUGAAUACCGGAAUGUUGUAACAGAAAAGCUUUAUGAGAAAGUGGCCAAAAACCUGCCUGACAAGAGAAGCCAAAUUCAGAAGGGAAGCCAAUCAUGAGUAGCCUAGUUGUAGAGCAGAACAGUGUCCCAGCAAUCAAGGCGACCACGGCGAUGAAGGCGAUCUCUCGGCAGCGGUCCAAUCGAUUCAGCCCAAGUACCCUGGAGCUUCGGAAAUGGCCACGUUUAACACGCUGCAAUCUUUAAAGGAUCUCCAUGGGUCGCUGAAGGGCUGCCGACGAUCCGGAUGGCAAAAUGCCAAAAGCAUGCCCUGGCUUCGCGUGAGAAUUAGAGUCCACGUGGCGGCAUUUUGGCCGAUGAUAUGGGCUUAAGCAAGACCCUGAAAAUGAUUUCAGGAGAGCAAAGUGAAGGAGAGAAGGGUACAAACGGAAAAGCACUGGUGGAUGGAAUUCGAAGGGCCGAAAAACUCAUCUUGGUGGCACCUUAGUCAUGUGCCCGGCUAGCUUGCUGCGCCAGUGGGAGGCAAAUGGUCAUCAUGGCAACAAGCACUAGACAAAGGCCAAACAAAAUCGUGGGUCAAGAGCAUAAGAAGUCGAGUUAUCGACGUUUACUAAGACUACAAGAAACAAGAGCAACAGAACCAUCCGCAGCUGAAAAGAAAAUUAAACAGUAUGCCCUGCAAGGAUUUGCGUAUAAUUGAAAUUUCCCUUAUCUUUUUGGUUCACAAUGUUAAAAUUAGCUUAAAGUAUUUGGUUUUAAGCAUUAUAUGUAUAUCUGCUCCUUUUCCCACAGCCAUAAUAUUUACGCGCCAAAAUUUGAUUUUUAAUCUAGGUUUCGCUGUUGCUGGCGAUAGUUUACACAACAGGGAAGAAAUAUUCGGAAAAUCGAUUUUGAUUAUGAGUUGGGCGGUAUUUUAGAUAAAUAUGUCCGCGGUCCCACUGAUUUUCUUGCCAGUUUGGACACCAUGUUAUACUUUUCAUAGUAUUUUCUAAAAUUUUCCAGUAUAUUUGAAGACGCGUUUUGGCCACAUUCUCUUUUUCAAUGCACCAAUGUAGAAAUCAUGUAGAAAUGCUGAGGGUAUAUUUACGGUAUAUAAUGGUAUAUUUUGCCAGUUUCAUCAAUCUAUUAAAUUUAAAUUAAGCCAA